rfam:Danio rerio chromosome 4, GRCz11 reference primary assembly.
CCUUGGCUAGCUCAGUUGCUAGAGCAUGAGAUUCUUCAUCUCAGGGUCGUGGGUUUGAGCCCCUCGUUGGGCG